UACGUAGGGUGCGAGCGUUAAUCGGAAUUACUGGGCGUAAAGCGUGCGCAGGCGGUUCGUUGUGUCGGCGGUGAAAGCCCCGGGCUCAACCUGGGAAUGGCCGUUGAAACUGGCGAACUGGAGUGUGGCAGAGGGGGGUGGAAUUCCUGGUGUAGCGGUGAAAUGCGCAGAUAUCAGGAGGAACACCAAUUGCGAAGGCAGCUCGCUGGGACGUUACUGACGCUGAGACGCGAAAGCGUGGGGAGCAAACAGG
rnacentral:rRNA from 1 species